CGGGUAUGACUUCAUCCAUCAUUUCAGCAAAACAACGGAUAUUUCUCAGUCGUUUUUUUGACGCUGCACUCUGCUACUCAUCUCACAAUAAUUAUAAAAACAUACGAAAAGCGUAAAGACUGACAAGUACUUCCACACGUUAGCAACGGAAAUGUAAACACAAAUUACGAGUAUCCUGCAUUUAUGCCAAGUCUUUUUACCUUUUCAGAUGAAGGAAUUCGUUGUUGACAGGUUAUCUUCACGAGAAAAAAGGGGGGGAAAAUGGGAGGAGUUACGAGAUUCUCUGGGUUGCAUGAAGAUCUACUAAUAACUUUCUCGCCAAGUAAUUUGGCGUCAUCGGCUCAUUCUCAUUUCUGGAACUGUGGAUGAAGAGUGGUCUGAUUUUGAUCCAUGUGCGCAAUGGCAAAUUUCAGGUUAUUCGUCAAAUAACCAAGGUUUCUAUUUCUCUGAUUAAUGCAGUUUAUUUGACAGAUGUGUAAUGCUGUUUGUUGAAAAAUGCAUUAGAACCAAUGAUGGUAAGAUCUUGGCCUAGGAAAUUGGUAAAAUAUUACCUGCUCUUAAUUACUGAAUCAUAUUGUAGGAUAAAAUCUGCUGUUUAUGUAUGAAAAUUUGUACUUUAUCUCUGAUUAUGUGGCCCAGAAUUUCAUUAUUAAUGAUCGAUUCAUUAAAAUUACUAUUUUUAAUUGUCUACUUUGUUUUGUGUUGCUGCUGCUCAUUCUGCAUUUUUUUUUUUUUGAGUAGAUAUAAAAAUUAAUUCUUGUUUUUUAUUUUUUUUCCCUCAAUGUCUCUUUUUAUUGUGCUGGUAAAUUUUUGAGAAAAUUUUUAGUAAAUGCACCAUUUUUACUUAGUUUGCGUAAAAAUUGUUCUUCUUUAUGCCUCUUUUGAAUAAAUAUGUCAAUUCUUGUUUGUAUUAUUUAAUAUCUUGUUUUGCAUAU